AAUUUUUUAACCAUUUGAUUUUUAUCAUAACUUACCAUAAUAUGGUUCAAUUUGAUUUGAUUUGGACUGAACCGAGUGCCACCCUUAAAUUGAAAAGCAACCUUGUAACUAGAUAUGACCAAUGGGUCGUGCCAUGUCGGCCCAGGCCCAUCAAAGGAAGUCAACGCGUGCUCGUGCCGUGCCCACUAUUCAUUUCGUGUCGUGCUGUGCCGUGCCAGCUCGGCAAACAUACCGUGCCCACUCAUGCCGUGCCGUGCCUAAGAAAAAUAGCCUACUAAGCUUUUUUUUUCUUUUUUAUUUUUUUAGAGCGCAUGCUAAGUUGAUGUCUUAUUUUUUUCAAUCUUAUAUACUUUUUUUGGAUCCAUGUGCCUUUAUUUAAAUUUAAUAGAAUAAAAA
rnacentral:lncRNA from 1 species